rnacentral:rRNA from 1 species
CUUCGGUGUCCGAGUUGUAAUCUCUAGAAAUGUUUUCCGCGUUGGACCGCACACAAGUCUGUUGGAAUACAGCGGCAUAGUGGUGAGACCCCCGUAUAUGGUGCGGACGCCCAGCGCUUUGUGAUACAUUUUCGAAGAGUCGAGUUGUUUGGGAAUGCAGCUCAAAUUGGGUGGUAAAUUCCAUCUAAAGCUAAAUAUUGGCGAGAGACCGAUAGCGAACAAGUACCGUGAGGGAAAGAUGAAAAGCACUUUGGAAAGAGAGUUAAAAGUACGUGAAAUUGUUGGAAGGGAAACGCUUGAAGUCAGACUUGCUUGCCGAGCAAUCGGUUUGCAGGCCAGCAUCAGUUUUCCGGGAUGGAUAAUGGUAGAGAGAAGGUAGCAGUUUCGGCUGUGUUAUAGCUCUCUGCUGGAUACAUCUUGGGGGACUGAGGAACGCAGUGUGCCUUUUGGCGGGGGUUUCGACCUCUUCACACUUAGGAUGCUGGUGGAAUGGCUUUAAACGACCCGUCUUGAAACACGGAC